rnacentral:rRNA from 1 species
GAUGAACGCUGGCGGCGUGCCUAAUACAUGCCAGUCGAGCGAACAGACGAGGAGCUUGCUCCUCUGACGUUAGCGGCGGACGGGUGAGUAACACGUGGAUAACCUACCUAUAAGACUGGGAUAACUUCGGGAAACCGGAGCUAAUACCGGAUAAUAUAUUGAACCGCAUGGUUCAAUAGUGAAAGACGGUUUUGCUGUCACUUAUAGAUGGAUCCGCGCCGCAUUAGCUAGUUGGUAAGGUAACGGCUUACCAAGGCAACGAUGCGUAGCCGACCUGAGAGGGUGAUCGGCCACACUGGAACUGAGACACGGUCCAGACUCCUACGGGAGGCAGCAGUAGGGAAUCUUCCGCAAUGGGCGAAAGCCUGACGGAGCAACGCCGCGUGAGUGAUGAAGGUCUUCGGAUCGUAAAACUCUGUUAUUAGGGAAGAACAAAUGUGUAAGUAACUAUGCACGUCUUGACGGUACCUGAUCAGAAAGCCACGGCUAACUACGUG